CGUUGAAAUUAAGUCGUCCAAGAUUUCUGUGUAGGCCUGUUUAACGUGGCAGGUCUCGGAAAAACUCACACUGAGUGCUUUGGAUAAAUAUGAAAGAAGGACAUGCUGUUGCACGGGUACACAUUUGUCAUUCAGACCCUCAGCUAGUGCCUUCGUCAGGCUUUCAACAAGAUCCAGCAUCAGCUUCGCAAACAAGUCUUUUGUGAAAUCAUCUGGCUCGCCAGAUUUGACCAAUUCUAUCUGUUGCCUGCUCAACUGUGUGAAAAUGCUUUCGAUACGUGGAACGAUAACAUUUUCUAGGUCCAUGUCCUGGGAUUCAAGUAUUUCUGCUGUAGGCUUAUUCAUUCUGUUUGUUCGUUAUUCGCGUUUCCUGAAUUUUGGUAUUACUGGUUCUGUUAGCUGAAUAUGUUAAAAUUCACUGAGUGAAAGAGCAAAUCAGCACGGCCACCACAAUGCCCUCUUCUGACGUCAGAAGCGCAUCAAAGGAACCGUUGCUAUGUACCGAUCAACUCCCACCCCCCCAACCCCAGUGACGUCAUCGCGUAAAAAAAAGGUGGAGACACUGCACAGCAUUUGGAGGCUGACAUUUGACUGAGGACAUUAUGUAAGUCAGAUCCUUUCAGGCUGCUCUGGAGAGUCACUCUGGCCCCUUCAUGGACUGUCACUUCCUCCCAGAGCCCUUAGGGGAUUUGUGCCUCUCAAGACAGCAUACGAGGGCCACACCUUUCCCCUCAUCCGCUUGCUAUAGCCUACCUGGAGGAUUGCUAUGGCAACAGGUUUCCAGUAGCGACAGGGCUACCAAUACAUCCCUGCCUGUCUGCGGGGAUGAGCGAUGUGUCAGGAUUCAAGAUUCAUCAUUAACAUGAACAAAUUGGUAUUUUGGUAUUUCAAUUAUAGGCUUAAAGUUGUCACUGCAUCUAGAAUGCUCAUCCUUAGAAACAAUAACACCUAAGUAGGAGAUCUCAUCUUUAACAAGGACGUUACAAAUUGCACUUAAUUUAGUUUUUGAUAGACAAAAUCUCACUUUUUUUUUUAAAUUAAGGCAUUGACCUGAAGCUUUGGAGAAUGGAUCAAGAAUACUUAAGGCUAUAGGUAUUUGAGAGGCAUCUCUAAGGAACAGUGUGGUAUCAUCUGCCACCUGACUGAUCUUAAUCUCUCUACCAGCUAUAGAAAUGCCUUUUAGCCUUCUGCUUUGGAUAUGGCAAGAUAGAAGAUGACCAGCUAGUAAAAACAGAUAUACAGAGAUUCGACAGCUUUGCCUUAUCCCCCUGUUAAUCUUGAAUCUAGAAGUAGCACUGCACAAUUUAAUAGAGCAGUUUGCUUUGGAAUAUAAUGUUUCAAUACAUUUGGAGAAGUAAGAUCCAAAUGCUUCAAGGGUAGAGAAAAUAAAUAUACUCCCAAUGCUAUCAAAUGCCAUAUAAUAGUCUAAAAAAUAUUAAACUUUUCUCAUCAGUUAAAUAUGAAUAGUCAAUUAAAUCAAGCACUAAUAUUAUAUUAUUAGAGAUAUUCCUGUUCUUCAUAAAUCCAGACUGCAACUCGUCAAUAGUAGCCAGACAAGAAAAAAAGGGUUUGAAUCAAGGGCACAACUGCUUUAUUUUUUUUAAAAUGAUGAAUGCACUGGGAUUUAAGCAAGUUGAAUAGACAUUUUUGUGUAAUACUUGGGUGUGUUGCAGAGUCAGGUCCAAAUAAAUUAGUUAGCAUUAGUGUAUAAACCUAAUCAGUUAUUUUAAAAUUCCUGUUUGCUUAAAAUCAUCAAAUGUGAUGAAUAUGAUAAUAAAGAUGAUCAAUAAACACAAGUGCUUUAUACAACAUUGUAUUUUUCAGUCUCCAAAAAGAAGUGCUGGAUAUACAGUAUUAUAUAACUCAUUUUACUGGCAAAAUAAACAGUGUGCUUUAUUAAUGAAGCAUACAUAAAGACAUGGGGAAAUGAAAUGUGUAUGUAAAUCAGUUUAUUGCAAGAACACCACUGGGAACAAGGCCAACAACUGCAUCUCUCUGGAUCGGAGCGCUGCCCAAAAGUCCUCACUGAAAAAAAAAUGAGGAUUUACAAACAAUUCAAAAGACAUGAGCAUAAAAUGACUUUACCUGAAGCAAUGUUUUAGGCCUACAUUCUAAACACUGUAAAUAUCUCCAAUAGAAUCAUCAGACGUUAUGUCAGCGUCUGUGUCUGUAAGAGCAUAUCCCUCUGAUAUGUACAGCAUAAUGCAGACAGUGCCUUUUUGAUCUUGGAAAUGCAUUAAAAUUACACACAAAAUAAUCUGAAAUAUGAAAGAGGCAUGCAAACCAACCAGUAUUUGUCUCUGUGUAGCCUACCUGAACACAUACCCAGAUCACUUUGUACUGUGUGUAAAAGAACAGCAUCUCUGAAGCAGUAACACAGUUGUACAGUGCCCCUUGUGGCUGUAUCCACACCUACAGAGGAUGCUUUUAAUAAAUCAACAACUGUAUUGACAGAAUUCUCAUUGAGAAUCCUUCAAGGCAAAAAUAAAAAUGAAAUAAAUAUACUUAUCCCCCACGUUUUGCUUGAACAUAUGCUGAUAUAGAGUGGCAAUACUGUUGACAUAGGUGUUUGGUUUUGGCUCGAAUAAAAGUGGUGGCACAACAGUUCAAGCGCUGUGUUUAAGAAACAAUACGUUGUGAAAGUUCGAAGGGUUAUGUGCCAUGUAGAUGCGGUUCCCUUUUUAUAUGAAAGUAAAUCUUCUACAUCACUAAUUUAACAUGCAAGGGGGAAUUUGCCUUCCACCUGCUGCAUGUUAGCACCAGUGAUAAAGAUUUGUCCAUCUCCACAGCAACUCCACCCAGCAAAAACCACUGUGUUUAUACCGGUAUACAAAUGUUGCAAUAUCUUUGCAGCUAUAUACAAUUCAUAAAUUAUGAAGUUCUAAGUUCUUAAGUAUAAACAACAUCAAGUCAGUUUCCAGUACUUAGAUUAUAUAUUAGGUACAGUACAUUGUACAGCUCUGUCAAUGCAGAGUGGACAGUGUUCCAUUAAAUACACUGUACUUGACCCAAAGGGCUGAAACUGGAGGUUAGACAUGAUCUUUGAAUAAAUUAAUUCAUAAAUAAAUCAUGAUUAUGUCUCCCCAGUUACAGUGGUAUCCUUGGUUCCCCUCAAAAUUCAAAUACACACACACACACACACACAGACACACACACACACACACACACACACACACACACACACACACACAGAGUGCACUGG